CCCUUAGAUGUUCUGGGCCGCACGCGCGCUACACUGAUGCAUUCAACGAGCCUAUCCUUGACCGACAGGUCCGGGUAAUCUUUGAAUCUGCAUCGUGACGGGGAUAGAUUAUUGCAAUUAUUAAUCUUCAACGAGGAAUUCCCAGUAAGCGCGAGUCAUAAGCUCGCGUUGAUUACGUCCCUGCCCUUUGUACACACCGCCCGUCGCUACUACCGAUUGAACGGUUUAGUGAGGGCCUCGGAUUGGUCUCGGCCCGCUCUUUACCGGGCGGCGCCGUUGGUCGAGAAGACGCUCGAACUUGAUCGUUUAGAGGAAGUAAAAGUCGUAACA
rnacentral:rRNA from 1 species